UACGAAGGGGGCUAGCGUUGCUCGGAAUCACUGGGCGUAAAGCGCACGUAGGCGGCUUUUUAAGUCAGGGGUGAAAUCCUGGAGCUCAACUCCAGAACUGCCUUUGAUACUGAGAAGCUUGAGUCCGGGAGAGGUGAGUGGAACUGCGAGUGUAGAGGUGAAAUUCGUAGAUAUUCGCAAGAACACCAGUGGCGAAGGCGGCCACCUGGUCCGGCACUGACGCUCAAGCGCGAAAGCGUGGGGAGCAAACAGG
rnacentral:rRNA from 1 species